rnacentral:lncRNA from 1 species
CCGUAGUCUAUAUAAGACUACGAGUCCAAACAGCAUGGGACACUGAAAGCAGCAUAUUUUUUCUCUACUCUUCUCUCUCUUCUACUUCCUCUUACUAUUUAAUCGCUCUUCCAUUUAAAUUGUUAAGUUUUGAUUUUGAGAGAUCUGUCAACCCUCUCCACGAUUGUGCUCAAAGAGAGAAUAUCCUGAUCGUAUUUUGGGGUAGAAUUCUCAAUAAACACUGACAUGAGUAUCAGAAAUUUAUCUUAAGACAGUGACUAUACGCUUUCGAACUUCAUUUCUAUUUCUGCAUUAUAAAUUAACAAACCAAUUCAACCAGACUCUCGAUAGGUCAAUUCUUACUCUUAUUUUUAUCAUAUAGUUUAGAUAAGCCUGAAGUUUAUCAAAAUUAUUGCUUUAAUAGGAUCCUCUUUGCAGAAGGACUUUGAUACAACAACCUCCUCCUCGUAGGAUUCCAACUGUGAGAGACCUUCUCCCUGCUGAGCACCUUCUCCCUGCUGAGCAUUUUUUUAUUUUUAUAUAAAUGACAGGUGGUAUUCUACCAUCCAAUUUAUUAAGAUAGAAAGAUAAAGAGGUAUAUUUGCUAGGUGGAGGAUCAUCCAGACUGGUGGCCCUACUUGGACUCGACCGCUCAAUGACAAGGUCAGUUGCUAGCUAUCAUUAUUGUGACCACCAAUAAAGCAGUUAUGGGAUAUCUCAAAACUUUUUGUCAAGAAAUUGAACUACUCCAAUGAGUCCCACCCUUUAAUCAAAAAUGUGCAUGAUUUUCAAGGCUUUCCAUAAACUUUUCUUUCUCCGUAGGUUUUAACUAUGAAGUUAUUUUAUGUUAUUCCUCCACUCUCCCUAUUUUAUCUGCCUCUAUUUUACAACUGCGUCUUCCACGUGUUAUAAACAAAGUUCUUCUGCAAGGAGAGUUCUAUCAAAUUGAGGACUAUUUUAAAUAAAAAUUUUGAUAACCUACUAAUUUAUCUAAACUAUAUGAUAAAGAUGAGAAUAAGAAAUUUGACUUAUCGAGAGCUUGAUUAGAUUGGCUCGUUAAUUUAUGAUGCCAAUAAAGAAAAAAUCCGGAUGCAUGUA